rnacentral:rRNA from 1 species
AUUAAGGGUGCAGGGCGGAUGCCUUGGCACUAGGAGCCGAUGAAGGACGUGAUAAGCUGCGAUAAGCUUCGGGGAGUUGCACGUAAACUUUGAUCCGAAGAUUUCCGAAUGAGGAAACUCACUUAGAGUAAUGUCUAAGUAUCAUUAAGUGAAUACAUAGCUUAAUGAGGGGAACUCAGGGAACUGAAACAUCUAAGUACCUGAAGGAAGAGAAAGAAAUUCGAUUCCGUAAGUAGCGGCGAGCGAACGCGGAUUAGCCCAAACCAAUAAAGUUUUCUUUAUUGGGGUUGCGGACAUAUCAUAACGAAGAGGUAUCGUAAUUGAAGAGGUUUGGAAAGACCCACCACAGAAGGUAAUAGUCCUGUAUGUUAAACGAGAAGACUUUAGAUAUGAUCCAGAGUACCACGGGACACGUGAAACCCUGUGGGAAGCAGGAGGGACCACCCUCCAAGGCUAAAUACUACCUAGUGACCGAUAGCGUAUAGUACCGUGAGGGAAAGGUGAAAAGAACCCCUGGAGGGGAGUGAAAUAGAACCUGAAACCCUGCACUUACAAGCUGUGGAAGCACAUUUCUUGUGUGACCGCGUACUUUUUGUAGAACGGGCCAACGAGUUACGUUAAGUAGCAAGGUUAAGCACUUAAGGUGCGGAGCCGUAGCGAAAGCGAGUUUUAACUGAGCGUUCAGUUACUUGACGUAGACCCGAAACCGGGCGACCUACCCAUGAGCAGGAUGAAGCGAAAGUAAAAUUUCGUGGAGGUCCGAACCCACGAGCGUUGAAAAGCUCGGGGAUGACUUGUGGGUAGCGGUGAAAUUCCAAUCGAGCCCGGAGAUAGCUGGUUCUCCCCGAAAUAGCUUUAGGGCUAGCCUCAAGGUGAGAGAUACGGAGG